CAAUAGCGUAUAUUUAAGUUGCUGCAGUUAAAAAGCUCGUAGUUGGAUUUCGGGUGGGAAUGGCCGGUCCGCCGUUUCGGUGUGCACUUGCUAAGCCCACCUUGCUGCCGGGGACGUGCUCUUGAGUUCACGCUCGGGACACGGAGUCGGCGAGGUUACUUUGAGUAAAUUAGAGUGUUCAAAGCAGGCCUACGCUCUGAAUACAUUAGCAUGGAAUAACACGAUAGGACUCUGGCCUAUCUUGUUGGUCUGUAGGACCGGAGUAAUGAUUAAGAGGGACAGUCGGGGGCAUUCGUAUUUCAUUGUCAGAGGUGAAAUUCUUGGAUUUAUGAAAGACGAACUACUGCGAAAGCAUUUGCCAAGGAUGUUUUCAUUAA
rnacentral:rRNA from 1 species